rnacentral:rRNA from 1 species
GAUGAACGCUGGCGGCGUGCCUAAUACAUGCAAGUCGAGCGAACAGACGAGGAGCUUGCUCCUCUGACGUUAGCGGCGGACGGGUGAGUAACACGUGGAUAACCUACCUUUAAGACUGGGAUAACUUCGGGAAACCGGAGCUAAUACCGGAUAAUAUAUUGAACCGCAUGGUUCAAUAGUGAAAGACGGUUUUGCUGUCUCUUAUAGAUGGAUCCGCGCCGCAUUAGCUAGUUGGUAAGGUAACGGCUUACCAAGGCAACGAUGCGUAGCCGACCUGAGAGGGUGAUCGGCCACACUGGAACUGAGCCACGGUCCAGACUCCUACGGGAGGCAGCAGUAGGGAAUCUUCCGCAAAGGGCGAAAGCCUGACGGAGCAACGCCGCGUGAGUGAUGAAGGUCUUCGGAUCGUAAAACUCUGUUAUUAGGGAAGAACAAAUGUGUAAGUAACUAUGCACGUCUUGACGGUACCUAAUCAGAAAGCCACGGCUAACUACGUG